rnacentral:rRNA from 1 species
AUGGCUACAGAACGAACGCUGGCGGCGCGCCUAACACAUGCAAGUCGAACGAGAAUCCGGGGCAACCCGGUAGUAAAGUGGCAAACGGGUGAGGAAUACAUGGGUAACCUACCCUUGAGAAGGGAAUAACCCGCCGAAAGGUGAGCUAAUACCCUAUACGCUAUCUUUUUUUCGAAAAGGAUAGGAAAGCCGGGUCGAGGACCUGGUACUCAAGGAGGGGCUCAUGUCCUAUCAGCUUGUUGGUGGGGUAACGGCCUACCAAGGCUACGACGGGUAGCUGGUCUGAGAGGAUGAUCAGCCACACUGGCACUGAGAUACGGGCCAGACUCCUACGGGAGGCAGCAGUGAGGAAUAUUGCGCAAUCGGGCGAAAGCCUGACGCAGCGACGCCGCGUGGGGGAUGAAGGUUUUCGGAUUGUAAACCCCUUUCAUGAGGAAAGAUAAAGUGGGUAACCACUUAGACGGUACCUCAAGAAGAAGCCACGGCUAACUUCGUG